rnacentral:tRNA from 1 species
GGAGUUGUGGCUCAGCCGUAGAGCGCUCGCCUAGCAUGUGUGAGGCUCUGGGUUCAAUCCUCAGCACCA